UAGGGAAUCUUCGGCAAUGGGGGGAACCCUGACCGAGCAACGCCGCGUGAGUGAAGAAGGUUUUCGGAUCGUAAAGCUCUGUUGUUAAGGAAGAACGAGUGUGAGAAUGGAAAGUUCAUGCUGUGACGGUACUUAACCAGAAAGGGACGGCUAACUACGUGCCAGCAGCCGCGGUAAUACGUAGGUGGCAAGCGUUGUCCGGAUUUAUUGGGCGUAAGCGAGCGCAGGCGGUCAAUUAAGUCUGAUGUGAAAGCCCCCGGCUCAACCGGGGAGGGUCAUUGGAAACUGGUUGACUUGAGUGCAGAAGAGGAGAGUGGAAUUCCAUGUGUAGCGGUGAAAUGCGUAGAUAUAUGGAGGAACACCGGUGGCGAAAGCGGCUCUCUGGUCUGUAACUGACGCUGAGGCUCGAAAGCGUGGGGAGCGAACAGG
rnacentral:rRNA from 1 species